GACGAACGCUGGCGGCGUGCUUAACACAUGCAAGUCGAACGGAAAGGCCCUGCUUUUGUGGGGUGCUCGAGUGGCGAACGGGUGAGUAACACGUGAGUAACCUGCCCUUGACUUUGGGAUAACUUCAGGAAACUGGGGCUAAUACCGGAUAGGAGCUCCUGCUGCAUGGGGGGGGUUGGAAAGUUUCGGCGGUUGGGGAUGGACUCGCGGCUUAUCAGCUUGUUGGUGGGGUAGUGGCUUACCAAGGCUUUGACGGGUAGCCGGCCUGAGAGGGUGACCGGCCACAUUGGGACUGAGAUACGGCCCAGACUCCUACGGGAGGCAGCAGUGGGGAACAUUGCACAAUGGGCGGAAGCCUGAUGCAGCAACGCCGCGUGCGGGAUGACGGCCUUCGGGUUGUAAACCGCUUUCGCCUGUGACGAAGCGUGAGUGACGGUAAUGGGUAAAGAAGCACCGGCUAACUACGUG
rnacentral:rRNA from 1 species